rnacentral:rRNA from 1 species
AAACGACUCUCGGCAACGGAUAUCUCGGCUCUUGCAUCGAUGAAGAACGUAGCGAAAUGCGAUACUUGGUGUGAAUUGCAGAAUCCCGUGAACCAUCGAGUCUUUGAACGCAAGUUGCGCCCGAAGCCAUUAGGCUAAGGGCACGCCUGCCUGGGUGUCACCAAUCGUCGCCCCAACCCCCGUGCCCGUGGCCACGGAGUGGGGUGAAUGCUGGCCUCCCGUGAGCACCGCCUCGCGGUUGGCUGAAAAUCGGGUUCGUGGUGGAUUCAGCGCCAUGACAGACGGUGGUUGAGCAUGUUCUCGAGGCCAGUCAUGCGCGCGACCUCCACCGGUUCCGUGCCCAGCGACCCGCGAGCGACGUUCGAUCGCCCAUGACGCGACCUCAGGUCAGGCGGGGCUAC